rnacentral:lncRNA from 13 species
ACGCUUCAGCAAUUCUUCGAAUGCGACAAUCAAUUGAAAGUGGAUGCGAACAUGAGAAAACAAUUCGAACACAUGAUAUGUCGAAUCGGAGGUUCGACAGAUUCUGUGAUGAAAUGGUCACCAGCGUCACCCGUGCAGAACUAGAAGCUGC